rnacentral:rRNA from 1 species
AUUGAACGCUGGCGGCAUGCCUUACACAUGCAAGUCGAACGGCAGCACGGGGCAACCUGGUGGCGAGUGGCGAACGGGUGAGUAAUGCAUCGGAACGUGCCAUUGAGUGGGGGGAUAACGUAGCGAAAGUUGCGCUAAUACCGCAUAUUCUGUGAGCAGGAAAGCAGGGGACCGCAAGGCCUUGCGCUCUUUGAGCGGCCGAUGUCAGAUUAGCUAGUUGGUGAGGUAACGGCUUACCAAGGCGACGAUCUGUAGCGGGUCUGAGAGGAUGAUCCGCCACACUGGAACUGAGACACGGUCCAGACUCCUACGGGAGGCAGCAGUGGGGAAUUUUGGACAAUGGGCGCAAGCCUGAUCCAGCCAUGCCGCGUGAGUGAAGAAGGCCU